ACAGGGACAUCCCCAAGCAGAUGCUGACUUGAUGCGAGGACAGGGAAUGGCUUCUCCCAGCAGAACCACUGGAAAAGGAAAGGCACUUGUCACUGGGGCAGCAAAAAGAGGUGGGAGGGCUGAGAAGGUGCAUGGGGAUGCCAUUUAUUGCCCAAUUCCAUCUGUUCACUGCUAGGCAAAGACAGAGAACAGAUACUUGGCCUGGAAUACUUAGUCUACUUCCAGUGAAAAAUACCGAGUGUGGGAUUUUCAGCCGGAGAUGAAAGGUGCUGCAUGAAUUACUAGUUUUCUGUGAUUCUAUUGACCAUCUUGGAUAUUUAAACAUGCUGCUAUGUCCUGGAUUCCCAAACCUUUUGCUCUCAGACUGGAUGAUUGAUGCCAGAUGUGAGAAACUCUGCUUUAAAUCCUUGCUUACUCUUGAACUUUGUAACACAUAUGCAGGCUCCUCUCUAGCCUGGUUGCUUUUCCCAGCCUUUGCUCAUAACAUACUGUUCUUGAUUUGUCAGAACAGGCCAACAGAGACCAAUUCAGAGGUGGACACGUCAGCAUCACCCUCAGUGGCUCAGCUAGCAGGGAAAUUCAAAGAGCAAGCAGCCAAUAUCACUGGAAAAGAGGUACCACCACAUAAGCCAACUCGGAGGAAACCACCAUGCUCCCUUCCACUGUAUUCCAACAAAACGGAGACAAGCCUCAACAAUGAGCAAAAGCCAUCUCCAAAUGCUUGCCCUAUUCCCAAGGUCAAGGUGAAAAGCUCCCCCAUGAUUGAAAAGCUGCAGGCCAACCUGGCUUUUGCCCCAGCUGCUCUGCUGCCGGGAGCAUCUCCCAAAAGCCCUGGCCUGAAAGUCAUGGUUUCUCCGUUCAGCACCCCUCCCUCAACCCCCAGCAGCCCGGGCACUCAGCCACAGCCUGGUGAAGCAAGCGAGACGCCGGUCAGCUUUGAUCAACCCCCCGAAGGCACUCAGCUGCAGUUCUAUAACAAGGUGCGGACGCGGGGAUCAAUAAAGCGUCGGCCUCCCUCCAGGAGGUUCCGAAGAUCUCUGUCUGACUACGGAGACGGGGAAGAUAUAGGGCUCAACAUCUCCUCUCCAGAAAACGGUGCUAAAGAAGACGGGGAUGAGGUGUUUGGGAAUAAGGGCAAGACAGAAGAGGAUGAAACAGGGAACAAAGAGCUAAAGAAACAGGUGGGGACUGAUGAGAAGCCCCCAUCGAGGAGAGUAUCCAGCAGAUCAGAAAAUGAAGAAAAAGGGGAAAAACAGGCAGAAGAAACGACUCCUUGCAAGAGUAAUGCAGGGGAUACAGAGGAGAAGGAGGUGUCGCAUGGUGCCCCAGGGGAGGAAAACUCACCCCAGCCUCCCUCUGGAGACAAGGAGGAGAAGGUGUGCGAGGGUCCCCAGGGACAAGAGGAGGAAGGCAGUGCCUGUGAACAGGAAAAGGGGGACAAGGAGAAAGAAGGAACCGAAGCGAAAGAGACCAGUGAGAGCACACACACAGAGAAAACGUCAGACACUGAAGAAACACCACUGGCACCUGAACCGCAGCAGGACGCAAUGGGUUUAGAGACUGCAAGUGAGCCUUCAGCAUCCCCCACACAGGACCAGGGCACAGAGUAAUCAUGACACGUGUUAGGUAAGUCUGGUCAGCAUGAGGACGGCUCCUAAACUACCAGAGGUUUUUGCUUACUAAUGAAAAAGGCAAGCGUGGCAGAACAUACCAACAUUUCUGCUGCUCCCCACACCUCAAGAGCAUCAGAUCUCAGGCCUGCAGGGUCUUUAAGUCAGGGCAUUUAAACAACCAGCCCUCUGGGCUGAUGUUACACAGAGAGGAGAUGGAGAAGAGGCAAAGAUGAAACAAAUGAUUCUGACUUCAGUGAAAUGGAGAAGCUCUCUGAUACCAGGACAUACCCAAUCAGGACACAGAAGAUGAUGUGUGAACAGGAGCCAUCUAACCCAAUCAAGGUUGAAGCCACUGGAAAACCUUCGGUGGCAGGAGACGAGUAGAAUAUGGAUAUCCCCUGAGGUCCAGACUGAUCCCAGCGCUGAGUGGCUGCUCGCUGGCUCUGUGCUUUGCACCAUUGUGACAGUCAGAACAAGAGACUGGCUUACAAUUGCUUCAGAAGUCAAAACUGAGGUGCUGGCUGAUGUCCCUGGGUGACUGCUGGGGACUGAGAGACCUGAUGUGUCCUGUCCUGGACCCAACGGCCACCGCCACUCCUGGGCCCUCUCUUCCUUAUUCCUGCUGAGCUCCAAAAUGUCAUUUUCUUCUCCCCUGCAUUGGUCUUGGAUGAAGUUCAUCAGCUACAUACAUAUGUGUAUGGUGCCUUUUAAGUAGCUUCUUUUGAAAUAUUUUGGGUUUUCAAACUUCAGUAAAUAAUGUUUUAACAGUAGGAAAAAAAAAAGUAUGUUUUCUCCAUGUAUGCUGUAUGGCAGACAAUGUGAAUCCUAAAUAUGGGGAAGACUCUUAGGAAAUUGUUCGUAAAGCAUAAAAUGCUUUCAAAGUGGGGGUUGAGCUGGCUAAUCUGUGAAACGCGCAGUCAUGGUAGGCAAUUUUUGUGUGCUUCAACUUUGGCACAGAAAAGAUGUGCUGUGUAGGUCAGUAGGGCAUGUUCUCUUACCCAACUCUGUGCUCCAGUCCUGAUUUAGAAAGGCUGCCUGUCUGUCCAUCUGUUUUUCUUCCAGGCCCUGUCCCAACUUUUGAUUCUCUUUUGAAACUUUGAGUGUGUAACCACUUAGUGCCAUUUGUGACAGAAAGCGUCCUGGCUUACUAGAAACAGCCAGUUAAUUUUAUUUAAUCAAAGAGGAGACCUUAGAUGGCUGAGCUGGUUCAAGUCAUGUGGCCAGUCUGUAUAUGAACGGGUGGGGGACAGACAGCCAGUCCCUCAUGAGAACGUCAGAUUGGCAUCGUAUUGGAUUUGUGUUCACUCUUGGAGUGCUAGUUAAGUCAUGGGACUAACGUUUGUUAAGGUGAAAAAGCUUCUCCACUUAGAGAACAUGAAAUCAGGGAAAGAAAACAGGCCUUUACCCACCUGGCUUCCUGACUAGUGCUUGAAGCUGUGUCUGUAUUACUGAAUACAAAGCUGCUGUGCCUCAGGGCUGUGGGGCUCAUGUCCACAGAGCUUAGGCGUAGCCCCUCUGCAGCAGCCUGCCUUGGGGACAGCUGGCCAGCAGUGCCCAAGGCCGAGCCACGGAGUCAGCCAGCUGUCAGGGCUGUGAACAGUUCGGGGCCAGUCACCCAGAAUUCAGCAGUACGGACACAGCUGUAGAGACCAAAGACAAGAGUCAGGAAGCUCCUCUUCAUCUUUCACAAAGAUCCUCCUAGCAAACGUCAAGCUGAACAGAGUUGGAGGCUUGUGUUGUCCCUGUCCCUAUGAGCAGGCACAAGCAUUUUACACAACACAGCCCGCAUCCUUCCUAGACUGGGCUCUGAAGCAUGGCACUGUUACAAAACCCAUGGUUUUGGGGGAUAUCCCCUUUCUGUUCACCAGCUCUACAGUCACAAAGAGAAGCCUCUAUGCCCUGCCUUUUCUCUUCCCAGGUGAGAGCGCCCGUUGAGAGCCAGCAGUGUUGCCCCUGACGCGUAGAAGAGGCUUGUUGGCAAACAUGACCCCCACAUCCUUUUGAGCCAUGUUGUGGAGUAUUGUUGCCUUUGGAUCUCUUUUAAUCUGUUUGUUAAAGCUUGUGUUCCAGGGCAGGCUGCAAUCAUUCGCUGUAACCUGUUUCCUCUCUCAGCAGAAUGUCCCACCUGGAUGUGAGUGAUUGUGCCUUACUGUAUAUAUCGAUACAUGUGUGCCUGUUUAGAGAAUGUGUCCCUAGCAAGGGAGUGGAAAUCUGAGGGAGAAACAGAAGAAAUAAACGGUGGAAUAAAAACAAAACAAAAUCUCUGUGUUUCCUCCUGGGGAAUGUAGGAGCCUGAGGAAGGAUGAGGAGAGCUGGCAACAGCAGAUAAAAGAGAGGAGGGAUUCCCACUGCCAUUGUAGCAGUUUAACAUUAAAUUUUUAAUUUAAUUUGUGGUAUUUUUACUUCUGGGGAACAGCAAUAACCAACGUGCUUAAUCCACAAAGGAGGAUGUCCUCUGGGGGAGCAGUAACACUGGAGACUGCCACACUCUCUGUCCCAGUUCCACAGACAUCUAGGAGCAGAAGAAAGCAAAUGCCAUUUCUCCAACAGCAUUGUAGUUCAGGGGAAGCACAAAAAAAAAAACAACCACAAGGCAACAUACAGUGAUCCUUCCUGUGAGAUUUCCGAGCUUCUGGCAAUCGACAGAGUAGACUUUCUGUGCCAGGAGUUGCUUCACCAUCUUCAUUCUUGACAGCUUCACAAGUUGCUGGAAAAAAAAGACACCCGUUUCUCAGCUGUAGGCAUCCACAUGUGCUUCUAGCGGUGAUGUUAACACAGGCUGCACACAAACCUCACCCCUGUACAAGCCAAGUGAGAGCAA